rnacentral:rRNA from 1 species
UACGUAGGGGGCAAGCGUUGUCCGGAAUUAUUGGGCGUAAAGAGUGCGUAGGCGGUGUCCUAAGUUUGUUGUGAAAUCUCCCGGUUUAACCGGGAGGGUGCGGCGAAGACUGGGAUGCUGGAGUGCGGGAGAGGGAUGCAGAAUUCCAGGUGUAGCGGUGAAAUGCGUAGAUAUCUGGAGGAAUACCGGUGGCGAAGGCGGCAUCCUGGACCGGCAUUGACGCUGAGGAGCGAAAGCUAGGGGAGCAAACGGG